GGCCGAAAGGUGCCGUCUGAGGAAAGUCCGGGCUUCAUAGGGCAGGAUGCCGGAUAACGUCCGGUGGAGGUGACUCCAAGGAUAGUGCAACAGAAAUGUACCGCCGGGAGCAUUCCCGGUAAGGUUGGAAGGGCAGUGUAAGAGACUACCGCCCGCCUGGUAACAGGCGGGGCAUAUGUAAACCCCAUCCGAAGCAAGACCGAACAGAAAGCGAUACGGCGGCCCGUCGUGCUUUCAGGUAGGUCGCUAGAGACCGGUGGCAACAUCGGUACCAGAUAGAUGAUCAUUCACGACAUAACCCGGCUUAUCGUUCCGCUUU
rnacentral:RNase_P_RNA from 1 species